CAUCCCACCAGCCACCUCCUCCCACCACCCACCUCCUCCCACCAUUUCCCCCUCUGUAUUUCUUAAACAACUACUUAGGAACUUCCGAACGCCACCAUACCACCACAACACCACAUCACUUCUUACGAUGGACUAAUAACACUGUCAUACCACCACAACAUUGCUCAUGACGCACCGGCAAACUACCAACACCAGUGAAUUCAACUUCUCAACAAGUGGGAGUUCUGAUGGAGAAAAGAAACCUCCUGAAAGUGGAGGAGAUCAUGAUGGUGAGGUGGUGAUAGGGGAGCCUAAAGCCAAGAGAGAUGAAGAUGGCUUCUCAACUUGAAUUUUUUGAGAAAACUUAUCAAGGCGAAGAAUUCUCUUUAGGCGACUUUUUAAGGUUGUGAAAGUGGUCUCUGGAUUUGUCUACACAAGAUGUCAUGUACUUUAAGUAAACGGACCUAGAGAUAUGACUGUUAAGGAAGCUACUACAGUGAGAAGCUACUACAACCCUAUUGUACUAAGUAAUGAUGAGGAUGAUGGAGGAUAUGAGUUUGACUGUGCUAGCUACACUAGCGUAGAAUCCGAAGAGUAGGUAUGCCAGAUAGUGAUGAUGAGGUUCUUCAUGAGUUUAUCGUGCUAGAGGACAGACCAAGAUGAACAUCUACCAUGUUGUCAACCAAAAACCCCGACAAUUCUUUUUUCCAAAAUACCCUUUUUAUAUAAAACUUAGAUGGAGGAAGCACUAGUGCAAAAAACCUCAUCAGAAAAUCAAUUGAAAAAUGCGAAGGAAAGCUGGAAGGAAAAUCUGAUGCGCUCCUCUUGUGAACCGCAUCAGAUUAAUAAGAUGCGGUUUUUUAAGAGUCUGAUGCGGUUCCUAGGACCGCAUUAGAUUUUCUCAAAAAAAAACUCGCGACCCAUUUUCCUCCCUUACAAUCCCAGCCCACAUAACCCAUUUCACUCAACCCUAAUCCCCCUCCUCCUCACUCAACCUUAAUUCCCCUCUCUCUCAUUCACGACGCCCUUACUCCUCUCCCUCACUCCUCUCUCGUUCUCAAACACCACUACCACACAUCCUAUUCUCUCCUCUGUCAUUCUCAAACACCACCUACCACACAUCCUCCUCUCUCCUCUGUCAUUCUCAAACACCAACGCCAACACCACCGCCAACACCAAGCCACGAAAACCUAAUGACACACCGUCAACGCCAACGCCACCAAUGCCAACCAACCACGAAGGGAAACGACCGCGUCCUAGUCUUCAACGGCUCCCAGAUCUAGUCUUCACCUCCUCAAAACGCCGACCACCACCCACACAUCACGAUUUUUUUUCAUUUUUUAGUUGAUUUUGUUAAUUUUUGUGGUGAUUAUUAUCAUGUAAUUUCAUAUUAUUCUGGACCUGGGUUUAAUUUCGUUUAAUUCUCGUUUUUUAUUUCUUAUUUUUCUGUUAAUUACUUAAUACUCUGUAAUUUUAAAUUUGAUUAACUAUUUUAUUUUUUCAUUUAAUUUCGUUUGUAUAAAUUUUUUAAUUUUGUUUGUAUAAAUUUAUUGGAGUUAUGAAUUGCGCU